rnacentral:rRNA from 1 species
UACGGAGGGUGCGAACGUUAAUCGGAAUUACUGGGCGUAAAGCGCGCGUAGACGGUUAUUUAAGUCGGAUGUGAAAGCCCCGGGCUCAACCUGGGAAUUGCAUUCGAGACUGAAUAGCUAGGGUACGGUAGAGGGAAGUGGAAUUUCCGGUGUAGCGGUGAAAUGCGUAGAUAUCGGAAGGAACAUCAGUGGCGAAAGCGACUUCCUGGACCAGUACCGACGUUCAGGCACGAAAGCGUGGGGAGCAAACAGG